rnacentral:rRNA from 1 species
UACAGAGGUCCUAAGCGUUGUUCGGAUUCAUUGGGCGUAAAGGGUGCGUAGGUGGCAGGGUAAGUUGGAUGUGAAAUCCCGGGGCUCAACCCCGGAACUGCAUUCAAUACUGCCCUGCUAGAGUACUGGAGAGGAGAUUGGAAUUCAUGGUGUAGCAGUGAAAUGCGUAGAUAUCAUGAGGAAGACCAGUGGCGAAGGCGGAUCUCUGGGCCUUACCUGACGCUGAGGCGCGAAAGCUAGGGGAGCGAACAGG